rnacentral:lncRNA from 1 species
CUGACCCCCUGCCUUACAGAAAUCUCUGUUUUUUUCACAUAAUUAUAAAACCCCAAGAGUUUCGCCCGUUUGAGUUAUUUGUUGGCACACAUUCACCAUCCUGGCUCCUUGCUCUCAUUGGCCAAUCCUAAGUAUCUCUGCUGGGGCUUUAAACCAGGCUCUUCCGAGACAACGCAGGAAGCCUGGAAGAAAUUGCCUUUUCCUAGUGAAAUUUCCCUUUCCUAUUGCAGACUACCUGGGAUGACCAGGGUACGCAAACGCGAGCAGCGAGGAGGCAACGCUACCCUGGCUUUCGGUCAUGAAUCAUUUAACCUCGCAUGGAAAGGACAUGAACCAAAAAAAGGGAAUGCACGGGCUCCUGGAACUAAAAAGUCCGCCCAUAUAGCCUCGUUCAGGCAUAGCUCAAUUCAGCGGCUUCAAGCAUGUCACAGGGCUCAGGCUCUCUGGACACGCCUCACCUGUCUUCCUGAGCAAGCUUCCUUCUCAUGGGAAAGACGGUCCCCACAACUCUCAAGCUCCCAGCCUCUCAGCUCCUAGAAUUGAACGCCAUUGGAUCAGUUUGGGUCACGUGCCCAUGCUUGAGCCAAUCACUGUGUCCGAAGGAAGAACUACACUGAUUGGCUAGAUCUGGGUCACAUGCCGGAUGUCGUCUCUGGAGAACGAGGCCGGUGUUGUUUGAAGGAGAUGGACUGAGGAUGUCAGGAGGGACCAUUCAUCUUUAUUCCACUGUGGCUGGGCUUUCAACUCCAAUGCCUCCUCCAACAGCUGGAAUUAUAACAGCUACAGCCAGAAGUCCCAUUUCCCAGCUACUGUCUGAAGAAGGUGUAUAUUCAAAUGCAACUAUUAUAUAUUCCAAAUGUCAUAUUCCUCAACACCUGUUUGAAAGAGCACAUUAUAUCAAGAAGGAACUGUCACCGAAGCUACGAGAAGGACAGUCUCUACCAAAGUGCCGGAAGUCAGGGGACUGUCAGACAAGAAACUGCUGUGUCCUUCUGAGGCUGUCCUUGACCAGGAUGCAGACGGCAGCAGAGGGCAAAACCCAAGAGGGGUGGCAGAGAGUGUCUCUUCAAGGAAGAUAUUGUCAGGAAAUUGAAAAAUUGGGCUACCCCAUCCAGACUGUCUAA